rfam:Mus musculus chromosome X, GRC primary reference assembly.
GGAGAGAUGGCUCAGUGGUUAAGAGCUCUGGUUGUUCUUCCAGAGGACCUGGGUUCAAUCCCCAGCACCC